UGGACUCUGGCCCCGCCUAGGGGCCGGGUCAGAGUCAAUGGAGCGCGUUUAUUAGUUUCCCGUUUCCCGUGCGCUUGGCAUCGGCGUCUAGCACCCCGUCUAGCAAUCCAGUCGGACACUGCGACAAUGUGUUCAGUCACACGAGUCUGUUCUUCAGUCUUCUUCUGUCUGUCUGCUGCCUGGAGGAGGAUGAUGACUUCUGCCUUUCCCUCUCGGAAUAUCUCUCUCCCUGUUGAGGAGACCAGACCAGAACUAUCCCAGAGUUCAGUGCGUCCGUGUUUACUCACUGAGGAGGAGGAGGAGGAUGAAGAGAAGAGCAAUCAUUGGCUUUUCAUUAAUCGAAUCACUGUAUCACUCGUUCAUUCUAAAUCAUUUUAAUAUAUUUCUAUAUAUAUAUAUUUGAGAAGUAGGUGUCUCGUGGUCAUGCUGACCUACAAAGAGAUUUUUCCCAUAUCUCCCUUCAUAUACCUUCACACACCCUGCUCAAUUAAAAAAGACUUAUUUUGUCCGGGCAGUGCCUUAUAACAGAAAAUGAUGUCCUUAAAUGAAGAACGAUGUUACUUUUGCUGUUUCUUCUUAUACUUUUUAUAUUUGUCAUUGUAUUCUUCUCUUUAUACUGUUCAGUGCUUUGAUGCAACCUGUGUUGUUAAAAGCGCUGUAUAAAUAAAAAUGAUCGAUCGAUUGAUAUUUUGUGCCGCGAUAUAUUUCUGCAUUGGCCAAAUAAAGA